GCUGGGCACAGUGGUGCACGCCUGUAAUCCCAGCAGCUCAGGAGGCUGAGACAGGAGGACUGUGAAUUCAAAUCAGCCUCAGCAAAAGCAAGGCACUAAGCAACUCAGUGGGACCCUGUCUCUA
rnacentral:sRNA from 1 species